rnacentral:rRNA from 1 species
GACGAACGCUGGCGGCGUGCCUAAUACAUGCAAGUUGAGCGAUGAAGAUUGGUGCUUGCACCAAUUUGAAGAGCAGCGAACGGGUGAGUAACGCGUGGGGAAUCUGCCUUUGAGCGGGGGACAACAUUUGGAAACGAAUGCUAAUACCGCAUAACAACUUUAAACAUAAGUUUUAAGUUUGAAAGAUGCAAUUGCAUCACUCAAAGAUGAUCCCGCGUUGUAUUAGCUAGUUGGUGAGGUAAAGGCUCACCAAGGCGAUGAUACAUAGCAGACCUGAGAGGGUGAUCGGCAACAUUGGGACUGAGACACGGCCCAAACUCCUACGGGAGGCAGCAGUAGGGAAUCUUCGGCAAUAGACGAAAGUCUGACCGAGCAACGCCGAGGGAGUGAAGAAGGUUUUCGGAUCGUAAAACUCUGUUGGUAGAGAAGAACGUUGGUGAGAGUGGAAAGCUCAUCAAGUGACGGUAACUACCCAGAAAGGGACGGCUAACUACGUG